AUUGAACGCUGGCGGCAGGCCUAACACAUGCAAGUCGAGCGAGAGGCGGACGGGUGAGUAAUGUAUGGGGACUGCCCGAUAGAGGGGGAUAACUACUGGAAACGGUGGCUAAUACCGCAUACUAUCGGAUAACCCAUAUGGGAUUAGCUAGUAGGUGGGGGAAAGGCUCACCUAGGCGACGAUCUCUCGCUGGUCUGAGCGGCUGAGCAGCCAAACUGGGACUGAGACACGGCCCAGACUCCUACGGAGGCAGAAGGGGGGAGUAUUGCACAAUGGGCGCAAGCCUGAUGCAGCCAUGCCGCGUGUAGGAAGAAGGCCUUAGGGUUGUAAAGUACUUUCAGCGGGGAGGCGUUACCCGCAGAAGAAGCACCGGCUAACUCCGUGCCAGCAGCCGCGGUAAUUC
rnacentral:rRNA from 1 species